GAGUGAACAAUCUGAUGUCAUCACAAGGAGGAAGUAGAGAUAUUCCAUGACUUGCUAUCCUGCUUCUCCAACCAAGAGUAAAGGCCCCUUUUUAUUUAUUUGUGAGACAGCAACAGUGUGAACAAUAAAAUCAUUUGACUGGAGACAUUAUUUGGAUCACUCAUCAGCGAGCCAGUCAGGACCAGCCAUUUAUUUCCAAUGAGGAGGUCACCAGAUGUCCUUUUUACUUGUGCAAAGCUGAGAUAGCAGAGAGAAGGAUUCUCAGUUAUUCUGCCAAUGACAGCAGAGUAAUUAUUGGAAAAUAGCCUCUCAGUAGCUCUCAAUUAUUAAGCCAAUUUCCUCCCCGUAUGAAUUUUACCAUUUCAAAUUAACCACGAUAAAAGGAGUAAAGCUGAAGGUGUAAAUCAUUUCUAAUGACGCCGCCGUCUGUCCUCCAUAAAACACAACUUAAUCCACCUUUAGUGGGAUAUCAUGACGAUUUAAAAGAAUAACCAAUCAUGACGCUUUGCUGGCAGUGCUAAAAGUUAAUUAUAUCUUAAUUAAUCAUUUUUGCUAAUGGUUUAACUGCAGCAACCGUGUCCUGUGUUUAUCAGGAGCUGCGACAGGUGUGACAGUUGGUAUUGAUUCGUCCGUAGAGCUGAGUGAAUAGCCAAUAGCCGAUGCUGGAGCUUAGAAACACCCUCCAGACUGACUGCUGGGAAGCAGGUGGGCGUCAGCUGCCCUCAUACAUCACAGCACUAACAGCCUCUUCUGCAGACAGUGGGGGGAAAAAAGAGCUUGAGGCGAGAGCUGGAAAAAAUGUCAAUAGAAAUGAGACAAAAAGAGAGAAAGAGAAAAACAGAAAGACAGGGAGAGACGAUGAGAGGGAACAGCGAGGCCUGAAAAACAGAUCAAAAAAAGGAAAGAAGGUGAUGUAAGAAGAAAAAGCCGGCUGUAAGUAAAACAAAGGAGUCAGCUGCUGGAGUCGUGCACAAACAGCUGGUGCCAAAAACAGAGUAAAGGACAAAGUGGGUUCUGUUUGGACUGGAGCCGGGCCAAAGCUGGGCCGGGUUAGCAGGGAGCGCCGCCAACACGAGAAGAGGCCUACGGGAAGAUCAUUAUAUAACUGAGAGGGGAAACCUCACAGGCACAACAGAGAUGCUCUUGACUCCCUAAUGAUAUGGCUCGGUUUAAACCCAUGUCAAAGGGGGAGGCAGGGAGACAUUAAAAAGAAAGAAAGGCAUCUAUAAAAAGACAAGGAAGAACGGGGAAAAAAAAGGGAGAGUGAAGAAUGCAGUCUAUUGUUUAUCCAUUAACCACUGCUGUAGAAACCACGGUGCCUGUACUUUUUCACUUUUUUCUCCCACUUCAGACCAAAACCACACACUGAUUCAUAGUAUGAACGAAUAUCUAAUUACACUAUAUGGAAAUUCUGCCUCUUGCAGGUAACUGGGCUUUCAGUAACGCCCCAAUGGAAAAAAUUACAAAAAACUAUCAAAUUUGAUUCACUUUUACCAUUUCAAGCAACUUGUUUGAAAUGUUUAAAGAAGUGUGUGUGUUUUUUUUUUGUUUCCUCCUCCAGUUUUCCUUUUUGUUAUAUAUAUAGAACUUGAUAAUCCUCCAUUUUUAGACCAAGCUUCUCACAAAGAAAACACUUAUUUCAGGAAAUUCAACAUGUGGUGUGGAAUAAUGGAAUCAGUGUGUCUGAUCAAAUAAAAACAACUACACCCAUUAAAGGGGACAUAUCGUG